UAUUAGCUCAGGUGGUUAGAGCGCACCCCUGAUAAGGGUGAGGUCCCUGGUUCGAGUCCAGGAUGGCCCACCUGAAGAAUUUUAGAUUUUAAAUUUUGGAUUUUAGAUUGUAUUUUUAAAUCUAAAAUCGCAAAUCCAAAAUCCAAAAUUCAUGAUGGGGGUUUAGCUCAGUUGGUAGAGCGCCUGCUUUGCAAGCAGGAUGUCAGCGGUUCGAGUCCGCUAACCUCCACCUGAAGCGGUAAGCGAACAAACAAAAGGAAAAAGUCAGCAACUAAUAGAGUAAGACUCGUUAGACUGCUGGGUAAUACCUAGCCAGAACCUUGAAAACUGCAUAGAAACGCGAUUAGAUAGCAGGCAGACACAGACAUGUAAUAGAUGGAAGUGUUUGCAGUGGUGAACACCAAUGUGAUAGUGGUCAAGCUAAUAAGAGCUAAUGGU
rnacentral:misc_RNA from 1 species